rnacentral:rRNA from 1 species
ACGGGAGGCAGCAGUGGGGAAUAUUGGGCAAUGGGCGAAAGCCUGACCCAGCAACGCCGCGUGAAGGAAGAAGGUCUUCGGAUUGUAAACUUCUUUUAUGAGGGACGAAGGAAGUGACGGUACCUCAUGGAUAAGCCCCGGCUAACUACGUGCCAGCAGCCGCGGUAAUACGUAGGGGGCGAGCGUUAUCCGGAUUUACUGGGUGUAAAGGGCGCGUAGGCGGGACGGCAAGUCAGGUGUGAAAUCUAUGGGCUUAACCCAUAAACUGCAUUUGAAACUGUCGUUCUUGAGUGCUGGAGAGGUAGACGGAAUUCCUUGUGUAGCGGUGAAAUGCGUAGAUAUAAGGAAGAACACCAGUGGCGAAGGCGGUCUACUGGACAGUAACUGACGCUGAGGCGCGAAAGCGUGGGGAGCAAACAGGAUUAGAUACCCUGGUA